rnacentral:rRNA from 1 species
CAGCCGCCACGGGAAUACAGAGGGUGCAAGCGUUAAUCGGAAUUACUGGGCGUAAAGCGCGCGUAGGUGGUUUGUUAAGUUGGAUGUGAAAGCCCCGGGCUCAACCUGGGAACUGCAUCCAAAACUGGCAAGCUAGAGUACGGUAGAGGGUGGUGGAAUUUCCUGUGUAGCGGUGAAAUGCGUAGAUAUAGGAAGGAACACCAGUGGCGAAGGCGACCACCUGGACUGAUACUGACACUGAGGUGCGAAAGCGUGGGGAGCAAACAGGAUUAGAUACCCGAGUAGUCCCUGUCUCUUAUAC